AUAUUAAAGUAGAAGCAUCCCGCUUCUCACCUUACAACCGAGGUUCGUAGGGUCUUAUUACACAAUAUGUUUUUAAAAUUGUGUCUAUUAGCGGGUGUUUAUCACCCGCUUUUUAUUUUUUGU
rfam:Desulfotomaculum reducens MI-1, complete genome.